CUCGGCGGAGUCCGGAUGGAGGACUCGGACUCGGCCGCCAAGCAGCUGGGCCUGGCCGAGGCGGCGGCGGUGGCGGCCGCGGCCGCUGUGGCGGCGGCGGCCGCGGCCGCGGCGGGAGGCGAGGCGGAGGAGCCCGUGCUCAGCAGGGACGAGGACUCGGAGGAGGACGGAGACUCGGAGGCGGAGCGCGAGACGCGGCGGGUGACGGCCGUGGCGGUGAUGGCCGCCGAGCCCGGGCACAUGGACAUGGGCGCCGAGGCCCUGCCUGGCCCCGACGAGGCCGCCGCGGCCGCCGCCUUCGCAGAGGUGACCACCGUGACAGUGGCCAACGUGGGCGCCUCGGCGGACAAUGUCUUCACCACGUCGGUGGCGAACGCCGCCUCGCUCUCGGGCCACGUGCUGUCGGGCAGGACAGCCCUUCAGAUCGGGGACAGUCUGAACACCGAGAAGGCCACGCUGAUCGUCGUGCACACGGACGGGAGCAUCGUGGAGACCGCCGGGCUGAAGGCACCCACUGCCCCUCUCACCCCCGGCCCUCAGUCUCCUCCGACUCCUUUGGCUCCCGGCCAAGAGAAAGGUGGAACUAAGUACAACUGGGACCCAUCGGUGUACGACAGUGAGCUGCCUGUGCGCUGUCGGAACAUCAGUGGCACCUUGUAUAAGAGCAGGCUCGGCUCAGGAGGCCGGGGGCGCUGCAUUAAGCAGGGGGAGAACUGGUACAGUCCUACCGAGUUUGAAGCCAUGGCAGGAAGGGCCAGCAGCAAAGACUGGAAGAGAAGCAUCCGCUAUGCGGGGCGGCCGCUGCAGUGCCUCAUCCAGGAUGGGAUCCUAAACCCUCAUGCCGCCUCCUGCACCUGUGCCGCCUGCUGUGAUGACAUGACCCUGAGCGGGCCCGUCAGGCUCUUCGUCCCCUACAAGAGGCGCAAGAAGGAGAGCGAGCUGCCCGCCACACCCGUCAAGAAGGAUGCCCCCAAGAACAUCACCCUGCUUCCCGCCGCAGCCGCCACCACCUUCACCGUGACCCCCUCAGGACAGAUCACUACCUCUGGCGCGCUGACCUUCGACCGGGCGUCCACCGUGGAGGCCACCGCGGUCAUCUCGGAGAGUCCGGCCCAGGGCGACGUCUUUGCGGGAGCCACAGUACAAGAAGCAGGCGUGCAGCCCCCAUGCAGGGUCGGCCACCCGGAGCCCCACUACCCAGGGUAUCAGGACAGCUGUCAGAUCGCACCGUUUCCGGAGGCCGCGUUGCCAACAUCUCAUCCCAAAAUAGUGUUGACAUCCUUGCCCGCCCUGGCGGUGCCUCCCUCCACCCCCACCAAAGCCGUGUCUCCCGCUGUGGUCAGCGGGCUGGAGAUGUCGGAACAGCGGAGCUGGCUGUACCUGGAGGAGAUGGUCAAUUCCUUGCUCAGCACCGCACAGCAGCUGAAGACGUUGUUUGAACAGGCCAAGCAGGCCAGCUCCUACCGAGAAGCCGCCGCGGCCCAGGCCAGAGUCCAGGCGGAUGCAGAGCGGAAAGAGCAGUUCUGUGUCAACUGCGGCCGGGAGGCCCUGAGCGAGUGCACCGGCUGCCACAAGGUCAACUACUGCUCCACCUUCUGCCAGCGCAAGUGGUUGAGAGUCCGCCUGCCGAUGCAGGGGACACGGGUUCGUGCCCCGGUCCAGGAAGAUUCCACGUGCCGUGGAGCCGCUGGGCCCGUGAGCCAUGGCUGCUGAGCCAGUGUGUCUGGAGCCUGCGCUCCGCAACGGGAGAGGCCACAACAGCGAGAGGCCCGCGUACCGCAAAAAAAAAAAAAAAAAAAAAAGGUAACUUGCCGGGUGGACAAAUAGUAAAAAAUCCCACCCCUGGUGCCUGUGACUUGGAGCUGCAUCUGCGGACACAGCCUCUGCUGCGCAGGGGACCCUGUGCCUGGCGGCUUCCCAAAGCGCCCCAUCCUCAGAUGUCCUCGGGCGGGAGGUGGGCAGGAAUGACCCCCAAGACUAGGGUGUGUGGGACGUGGCAUCUUCCUCUGCGUCUCAGGGCUUCCCGGGGGGCUGCAGGGGUCAGCACAGCGCGGAAGGUGUGUCCAGGGGCUCCCAGCUACGCUCCUGAGCCCUGGCCCGUUCCCGGGGCGGGAGACUUGGGAAGGAGACCCGCAGGUCUGCUUUCCCUGGUGUCACCUAUGGCUCGUGUGCUGAGCAGAGGGCCCGCAUGCCUGCUGCGCUCGGGGACGCUGGGAGGAGCCCAGGCAGCCAGGAGGAGCCGGCGGGGUGGACGGGCUCCUGCUGGCUCGUGAUCCGAGAGGGCGGCUGAUCGGUGGCUCUUCCCUGACUGUGAACCAUCAGAGGAAGAUUCCUUUCAACUUCAACUGGUCUACCCAACUGUGGAACAUCGUCCAGCAAGAAAUCUCCAGCACGAAACUUCGCAAACCACUUUUGACAUGUUCGAUCAGUUACAGCACCUUCUCCACGCACUGUGCAAGUCUUUUUUGGGGGGGGGUUUCAGCUGCGUUUUUACCUUUCUUGAAAUAGUAAAGAAUAAUAUGCUGAAAAUGUUGCUUUUUUCCUUCAAUAUUAAAAUGGCUACACAAAAAUUCA